UUUGAUUGUACACUUUGAAUAUGGAUUUAUCAACAACUUGAAAGUGCCCUUGUAAUGUGCAACAAGGCAUGCAGGGUAGAUCCCUAUCGUAUCUCUUGAGUUGGUCUUUGGGUGUAAUACACGGGGUAUGCAGUAUCACUCGUGGAGCCGACUUCUCGGGAGAAUGACAAGCGCCUAAUCUGUGACAACAUGUCACAUAUCGACUCAUUGGGGGUGCGAGUUCUACACCAAGCACCUUAUAAGCGCAUUAGUUUGUGAGCAGCAAGGCAGGUAUGGUAGAUCCCUAUCGCAUCUCCUGGGUUGGUCCUUGGACAUAAUACAAGGAGUAUGCAGUACCACUCGUGGAGCCGGCUUCUUGGGAGGAUGACAAGCGCUUAGUCCAUGACAACAUGCUUCGACCUUCUACACUACUAGGCAGUGCAGUGUAGUGACAAAGGAGAAGAUUAAGCAAGCAUUCGAAAUGAUUUCAAGAUAGUUCAAGGAUCCUAAUUUCGAGAUGUAAUAUGAUCUUAUGAUUGUGGGUAUUUUGGAACAGGAGAAUAGAGGAACUUUGGAAUCUGAUGUUUUCAAGAUAUCUCUCAUAGCUCAACAAUAAUAGCUAUCUUGGAUGGGAUUAAAUUUAGUGCUGAUCUUUUAGUUAUAAUGCUUAUCUACUACUUAAUAUCUCUAACUUGACAAAAAAUUUGCUUAAACAAACUUAUAACACCAUGAGUGGACUAUAUAUGUGUGAAGGAGUGAAAGUGAGAGAGGUGCACACACAAUCACAAGGCACUGAAAGAAAAGCCAACCACCCGUUUGACCAGUGGGCCCAUCACAACCUCCCUUGGAUGCAAUGGAAAUGAGAAUCUUUGGUAAGAGGCAUAAAUGGGGAAAGCAUAGUCCAAAGCUACUAUGCCCAAUCAAUAAUCUCCAAUUGUUCUCAAUAAGCUCCUUCUACUCUCUCUCUCUCUCUCUCUCUCUCUCUCUCUCUUAUUACUAUGUUAGUUUUUCCUUAAAUAAUUCUAGAGUCCCCUCUAUUUUUCCAUAUGACAAAUAUGUCCUUGUAAAAGGAAAUUAAUCUAAUAGAACUUUUUUUUUUUAGCUUAGGUUUUAUCUAAGUUAUGCGUCACACGCUUAGAUUGUGUUGGACUCUUGAAGGUGACAAAAAUAGAAGCUAAAUUUCUCACUUUUUUUCCUCUACAAAUCCUUAUUUAAAUUCUAAAUUUCAAACACAACCUUGAGAUUUAGAUCAUAUGAACUUAAUUUCUAUAAAUAAAAAAACAAACAAACUUAUCUUUGAUUGGAUAGGAUUUGUAUGUACUUCAUUCAGAAAAGUUACUAACACAAAAAAAAAAAAUGCAGAGAAAAUGAAAUAUAUGGCUUAGAUUCAAAUUUGAUAUGACGUGGAUCCUACCCAAGUUGAAAUUGCGCCCACCCAUUUCAUUUUCUCUGCAUUUUUUUUUUUUGUUGUAUUUGAUUUGUCAUUUUGAGAGGACAUUGGUGGCAUUGUAGUUGAACCAAAGGGUAAAUGGUUGCAAAAGUUGAUAUUUUCUAGUACAAAGAAGGCUUUCUGUCUUCAUGGAUGUUGCUUAGCAUUGCAGCAUUAGUUUAUUAGUGGAGGGAGGUUGGGACACUAGUGUAUGCAAAUAUAUACAUAUUUAUAUAUGAAUAUAUAUAUAUAUAUAUAUUUAUAUGUAUAUAAGGGAAGGUUGUGAAGGAGAUACGUGAAGAUGGAAGGGCUGGAUGAGCUUCAACUUCAGGAAGUCACUUCGCUAGCCAAUAAAGAGCAUAUUUGUUAAGGUCAUUUCAUGCCUCACAUACAAGACCCAAGGGAAUGGGCAUGGAUUGGUUAGUCUUUACAAGGACAUGGAAGCUUGUAAAGGAUAUGCAGACAUACAAGUGAUGUGGGAGAUGAUUCACUCUUCGCGCCCGCCUAGUGGUUGUAAAAACAGAAAUAGCAAGAGGGCUUCUCAAUGAAGAUUAUUAUUAUGUUUCAAGCCAACAUAAAUUUUGUCUACCCUUUUGAAAAACAACAGGUUUUGGAUAGAUUUGAUACCCAUAUUGUUUUUUUGUGUCGCUCUUUUUGGAUUCAAUUUGCGGCAGUAUACAGAAUUCUCUGAUACAUCUUUUUGAAGAUUAUAGAUUUCUUUGAUACA